CUCAGGCAGUGCUCCCCACCCCCUACGCUUUUCAGUUUUUUCUGUGCUCCCUUGCCCUCCCUCCCAGCCAUCGAGGGCGAACCAGCCAACCAACCACGGGAGGGACAGGCGACGGCAGCGAGAAGACCACAUUCGCCUGUACGCCAGUAAGCGUGAGCCAAACCCACCCACCCACCCACACGCACACACACAACGAGAGCACAAGAACCUACAAGGUCAGGGGAAGGUGGAAGGGAAGAGGUGAGCUCGCCUGCCUCCCGCUCGUUUGUCCUUUUUUUCUUUGUUGUUGUUGCUGUCUUCGUAGUGGUGGUGGUAGUGCUCCACGCUGCUCGCGUGACGGGAGAAUGCGCGUGCGCGUGUCUGCGUGAAACCCACACCCCCUCUCUGUAGUUUUUACUUUGUUGUUGGUUUGUUUUGGGGGCGCUGUGCGAUUGCGAAGGCACGAAAAAAAAAACGGUUCCGUAGAUUUUGGAGGGCAAAGUGAGGUCUUCUCUGUUUUUUUUUUGUUUUGUGUGUGUGUGUGUGUGUGUGUGUGUGUGUACGUGCGCGUGUGCAGCUGUGCCAGUGAAAGAGAGGCGGGAUUGCUUAUCAAUAACAACGUGCACAUAAGCAUCAUCGUCAUUUCUCUCACGCUCUCUCUCUCUCUACGGCUUUUUCUUUUCUUUGUUUUGCUACCCGUGUGAGCCUUUACAGUGGCGUUCUUCAGACGGCACUCAGGCCUCCCGCUCGCCCGCCCUUUAGGUCGUUGGUUGAUCGCACACUUGAUUUCGCUUUCGAUCUCUCCUGUGCUUCGAUUUGCAUCUUCCCCUCUGUUUCGUUCCUCUUCUUUUUGUUGGUUUUGCUUUUUUUUAUUUAUUUAUUUUUUUUGUGUUGUUUGUUUCAGCGUGGGCGUGCGUCUGUUGCCUCUGUGUGUGGGUCUGUGUGUGGGUCUCUGUGUGUGUGUGUGUAUCUGCGCGCACGACUCCGCACAACCGCACAAAAAGGAAGACAUACAUAAAGUGAGAGCGAGAGAGCAAGCAACUGGAAAUAAAAAGUCAUAAGAAAGAAAUCAAAUACGCCCUUGGCCCUGCGCCACUCACCGCCCCACUCCCCUACAUCCCUCAUUGUGUGCUUGAGUGGCGUAUCCAUCCUCCGUCACUCUCCCUCUGUCUCGCUCGUGCACUCGACGGCCUUGUUUCUCGCACGCGCAUCUUUCUUUCUUUUUCAUAUAUAUUCGCCCUUCCAACUUCUGCUACGUAACGACAACGACAACACAGACAAGCACGCAUGCAUGCACAGGAAUAGACAGACAGAAGCUUUUACGGCCUAUCGAUAUAUAUAUAUAUAAGAGCGAAAGGGAAGACGAAAGGAAAAGAAGAAGACCACCGUUUCUUGUGUCCGCCUCCCCAUACACAUUCAAGCGCCUGCUCUCCACUCACCACCAUCACCACCCCAUACACACCCUUUCCUCUGUCGUGGCGGCGGUGAGCUCCUUCUUUUCUUUCGCUUCCCUCUGCUUCUGUUUCUGCCGUUUUCCGUUUUGUUUUUUGUUUGCUGACUUUGGCGCGAGAGGGGUUGUACACCUGUGCGUGCGCCGGUGUGCGCUCGUUCCCUUGGCGCUGCCUUUUCUGCUCGCCGUUGCCCUGCCCAUUGCUCUUCGCAUUCAUCAACGCAACUCUUUACGCUGACGUUGUUUCGUCGCUCGCCGCCCCCUUACCUCUCCUUCUUCGAAACUCUUAUCUGACUGGCCUACCUUGCUUUCUCUCUCGCAUAAGCCCGUGCGUUCGUGUCUGGUGUGUAUAUCGGCCACCUUCACUCUACGCCUUUUCUCGCCCGUCUUGUCUUCAUCUCUCUUUUUCUCUCUCUCUGCAUGUGUGCGUGUGCGUCCGUGUGUGUGGUUUACCUAGCCCUUCCCUUCUCCGUCUCCCUCGUGGGUUGCACACGCACCCGAUUUCGUCUCUCGGGCGCCCCCUUCCCGUUCUUUCAUGGUACUGCGUCUCCCCACACCAAUCAUCCAUCACCACUUUUCGACUCUUUUUUCUUGCUUCUGUGUGGGUGGGUGUGCUGCCUUGCGUCAUCUCGAGCACCAUAUUUUCAGGUUUUUGUGCUCGUUGUUUCUCUCAAGCUGCUGCUCCAGCUCUCCGUCAGGUGCGCCUUUCGGGCUCGCUCCCUGUGUCCGCCCGCACACCCACCCCUUCUUACCUACCCUCCCUGCUCACUCUGUUUCGUGCGCGCUUGCUAUAUAUAUAUAUAUAUAUCUUUGGAGGGGAGAAGUGAGUAGCCUCGUCUUUUUUGCGUGAUCGUGACGAACCUCUCGGCUUGCUCCAUCAUCGCUCCCUCUGCCGCUUCUGAACGACGCGAGAGUGAGGAGGGGAACAGAGGGAGAAGCGAGAAUGGAACAGCGUGCAACGCAGCGUGCUACUAGUGCACGUAGCGAUCGCUAUGACGGCCUCCUCCCUUUAAAUCCGUCGCCGUCGAUUCCGUCCCUAGUGAUCACCACCUCCACACCGACGGUCGUACUGCCCUCCUCCCCGUCCACCGUUGCCUCGGCGCUUGGCACGCCGCUCGUGGAGACGUGUCCGCGGUCGCUCGCAGGUAGCUCCACGCACACCUCAUCCUCAGGCAAUCCCUCUCUCAUCGCCUCGAGAUCGCCGUCGAUGCAGCUAUCCAGCACUGCAGUCUCAUUUGCUGCAUCGUCCUUGCCCAGUAACUGGGUGGUGCACGACCCGCCCACUGCGGACAAGGCGCCGGUGAGCGCCUCACUGCCAGCCGUGGCCGCCACCGUGUUCGCCUCACUCCUCCACCACUCCUCCGCCGAAUCCACGCCCGACUCCUCACCGGUGCUGCAUCCUCGCCCCGAAGCCCUAGCCACGAUGAGCGCGGUGGCCCUGCACGAUGCCGUAGAGCUGGAGAAAACAGAUGCUCCACUUUUAGCCGACCUUUGCGGCCCCGGUCGCCAGGGGACCCCACGCUACGUGUCGACAGCCUCUAUCACCGCGCCGGCACCCACUCCAGAAGCGGGCAAUGCUGGCGCUCCCUGUACAGACUCUGAUUCGUCGUUGCCGGCGGCUCUGCGGCGCCUCUUCCGCCGCACGAGUGCCUCGAAGACUCUGCAGAGCAGGGAUGAUGGCGCUGUCGCGGCCCUCACCGCAGAUGACGAGCACGAUGCCACCGCGCUCCUGCGCGCAGGUGCUCAAAGCAAGCUGCACCCCGGUCGCAGCCACAACUCCGGCGGCGCCGGCUCCCCACACGGCCCGUCGCCUGUGCCAAGCAGCACUCCUGCCGUUGUACUGGGGACGGCACCCAUCGCGGCCGUCAUGCCGGCUUUCGAGGAAGGGCCACGUCCACCUCUCGCAACGCCUUGGUCCGGCGCCACUACGGCCAAGGGAGACAGUUCGGACCACAUGGCAGCCGCAGCUAGCACUCCAGCGCCGCAGCCACGCUGCGUGGCCACGCAAAAGGACUUCGCAAGUACCAGCAGCCAGAGGCAAGAGUCUCACAUCUCACCGCGUGCGCGGUCGCAGGCGUACCUGAGUGUCCGUUCAGGCGCAGCGACCAUGCCUGGCCAGUCAUCGUUGUGUUCGCCCGUGUCGCCGACACCGAAGCGGCGCGUGUACCUGGGUGGCGCCGGCAAUGUCUUCGCAGGCAAGGCCACGAAGGGCGUGGUCGUCAACUACUUCUCCAGCGCGGUUGAGCUGCAGAGUGGCCGACACAACUCCAACGCCAGCAGCUCCGUCUCCCCUGAUCUUGGCAACGGCAUGAACGACAAGGAGCUUUUAGUCGACGGCUCUGCAGAGAGCCGGCGCCCGGCGCUGAGCGGCGCGGCGACGGCGUUGAGAGCGGCGCCCCGUGAGGCCGCGACUUCCUCCAACUCAGCCUCCGAUACAGCGGCGCCACCAGCGCUUUCAGGCACUGUUGAUGCGGCCGCGCCCAGGGAAGCCUCGGUUGGUGCAGAUGCCUCUGCCAGCUGUACCGGUGCCCAGACCAUCGACGUAGCUGGUGCGGCAAGGCACUCCCCGCUGACCGACGCGCGGGUCAGUGGGGACGUAGGUGCAAAGACGUCGACGACACAAACAAUAGCGAAGACGGAGGAGCGCUUCCCCAGAAGCAGCGGACCACCUCAUCUCUUCAAUAUGGUGCCAUCAAACCUUUGCAGUUUCCCAAAGGCGGCAAUCACGAGCACACCGCAACCCUCCACCUUCGCCCACACCUCGCUAGCCACGUCAAGCGCGACGAGUAGCACCUAUAAAAGUAGAAGACAGCACGUGCGGGCGAGCAGCCAACCAGUGGCUUCCUCAUGCUUGCUCUUCGCUCGCAGUGGCGCUACAGGCGUCUCUGCACCGAUGGCAGUGAUGCAGCGCAGCCGCACCAACGAAGACGUGCACGGUAACAGUCAUGGCAGCCACGGUCGUGACCAGCACAAAGGCUGGCACCGAAGAGCGGCACACACUGAUGGCGGCUUCUCGACUCUUGCGCGAAGCGCUCAUAAGCAUCACCACGGACUCGGCUGUGGUGCUUCGGCACACCUGAGCGUGUCUCCCCACAGCUCUGGAUGCACGUCCCCCGAGCAGGACGGCGCACAAGGGAUCCGUGUACAUUACACGCCGUCGUCCGUAUCGUCGUUCCCCGCCCGCACCGAGCCCGCCGUAGAUGACGAUGAUCGCGGCUUCAGCAGCGGCAGGUCAGCCGCCGUCUCCAAGUUCGGCAGCUUCUUGUUUUCCACGAAUGUUACGAACACGCCUCGCCUCUCCGUCGACGACUCCGCGUCUCGGAUGUCGUCGCCGUCGACGGUCUCGAGCAUAAAUCGGAACUCUUUCGUCGACCUCGCCGACAAGUCACCGCAGGAGCACCUGCCUCACAAUUAUCUCCACAGCAGCAAGCCUGCGUCCGCGCUGGUCCACAAAGUCCCGGCGUGCGCGCGCGAGUCGCCGACAUCGGAGGCAGACGUGAUGCCUAUCACGCUGGUGCCACCCACCAGUCUGCGGCGCAGCGGCCCAAGCGAGGCGUGUCUCAGUGGCAGUGUUGUUAGCAGCGACCAGCGGUGCUCGAGCAGCUCUGGCUGUGACAACUCCUGCGGUUGCAUGCAGAUGCACAACGGCGAUGACGAGAAAGGCUUGGCGGCGCCGGCCAGCGCGACCCCGCCGCGCGGCGCCGCGUCCACCUUCGCCACCUCCUCGGUCGCUUCCCUAGCAGCGACGGUGACGAGUAUUGUGGGCCGUCCGAUCUCAGCGCUCUUCUCCUCUGGGAACCUUACGGCACCCAUGAGCAGAAAAGGCAGCAACUCUACAUUUCAGUUGUCGCCACCGGGUGCCUCGACGGGUCACUCGACACCGUGCUUUCAGGACGGCUUUGUGAUGCGGCCGGAUGCAGAGACGUUGCAGGGGCUGCUGCAAGGCAAGGUGCCGCGCAUGCCGGGCUGCUCCAUACGCGACUGGGCCGCGCACCUGAGUGCCAAGGAAGAGGAAUCGCGCAGGCGGGAGCAGAAGCGCCACCACACGCCUCACCAUCGCGCCAGUGGAGGCGCCACUCACUUUGGUGGUGGGGCGUCGCCCCCAAAGCCGGCCUCCACGGCGGCUUCACGAAACGCGCGGCUGCCGCGGAUGACGCCUCAGGAGGUCUCCACCCACAACACACCGGAUGACUUGUGGAUAGUCAUCCGAAACGUCGUUUACGACUGCACCGCCUUUCAGCGCUACCACCCCGGCGGAGAGAAGUUGCUGCUAGCUUGUGGGGGGCGCGAUGCCACAGCCGUGUAUGACCGCUUCCACGCGUGGGUUUCGUGCGAGAGCUUUAUGGCGCCGUACGCGGUUGGUGUUGUUGCCCCUUCAGAGACACGAUGACCGUGGAGUGAACGUCGAUGCAGCCUCUCUCUCUCUCUGUUUUUUUUUUAUUGAUUCUAGCUUUUCUGUGUGCGAUGAAUCUAGUGCUCCAGAUGUACACGCUUUUUGUUUACGAGACAGAGGGGAGAGGGGGCUGGGGCGUACAGGCUCCGUAGCUCGACAGCCCACCUUUCUUUCCUUCCUCCUUUCGCCUCAUCAUCCAUCUCCGCCGGGCUUUCAGGGGCGCUCAUUUCUUCUUUUCUUUGGUGUUAUGCCGUCUGCGAGCGCUUCCCUUUGCGUGGUGUGUGUGUGUUUCUCACUCCCUCCCUCUCCCUCUAUAUAUAUAGGCUUUCGUUUACGUUUCUGCUGUUGAUGCUGGUGCGGAGGUGCAUGCGGGAUGCACAACGUCGCAAGUAGUUUCACGGUCAUCCUUUCCGUGUUUUUUUUUUUUGGAGGGGGCUCAUCUCUCCUUUGAUCUCGUUGCUUUUCAUUCGCGUUUUUUUUUGUUCAUCUUCUUUUUCUUUUGUUGUCUCGCUGCCGCGGCGUCGAGCGAUAUAAGCAGUGGACCUCUCUACGGCUGCAACGUGUGCACCUUGCGUUGGCGUCGUUGUCAUUGAGGCAUCCUAUUUCUUUCGGUUGUUUGUUUUUCGAGGGUGCGGGAUGGAGGAGCUCUCAUCGUCAUUCUGCGUGAAUGCAUCCUUGUGUGGUGGGUGCCCUGUUUUCGCUUGCAUGAUCAUCUUUUCGUUGUGCCAUCGGUCUACCGGUUAUGCAGGGGGAAACCUGUCUUUUUUUUUUUGCCUGUGAGUGAGCGUGUUUCGAAGGUAGAGUGGUGAGAGACGGAGGAAAGGCUGGCACUCAUAUGCCCAACUCUCCCUCCCGCGAUGGAGUGCGAUGUGGGUCGUCCUCUCUCCUCCUUCCUACUCGGCCACCUCCCCAGCAUACCCCCACCGCUUUACACCUCAGCACAUGCGCAUACAUAUGUAUAUAUGCGUGUAUGUCCUUUGCUUCCCUGGCUCGUUGUCCUUCUCCUCUUGCCUCGAGUGGUCCCGUAUUAUCGUUUCCUUCGGCGCCCCCUUCCGUCUGGGCGUACGACGGAGCGACACGCAAAUACGCAUAUGGGGUCAACGUUGCUGUUCGGCCGGGUUCGCCUUUACCUUCUCUCUUUUUUCUGUCAACUUGAACAGGGGAAGCAGACGCGCGCGAAACGAAAGGCCCAUCCCUCUUUGUGCAUCGCGUACGAAUACAAACUCCCGCACAUGCGCAGGGACUCGAAGCGAAACGCUUUCGUAAUACUACCUCUCCACCACCCACCCACCCUCCCUCACCCGCUCUCCCUGGCCGUUUUCCUCUGACGUCUUGUUCGCCCCGUUCGGUUAAACCUGCUCUUUCUUGCAGUCUUUUUUGUUGUUGUUGUUCUCUGUCCGCUCUCCCCAGUCGCUCCUCGCUGCCGCCGCCGCCGCCGUGCUCUUCCUUUGUUUUUUUUUUUGCUCGGGCCUUUCUUCCUCCGUUGUGUACCUCAGUGGCUUCAGCCGUUGGGCGGUGUCGGAAGGUGUGUGUAUGCGUGUGAGGGUGUGGGUGGGUGAGUGUAAGAGAGAGACGAUGACUCGGUUCUUGUGUUUUGCUUUUCGUGUGAGUGUGUGUUUUCUGCACAGGCUUCUUCUGGUUAUCUUAUCUCGCGCUGCUGUUUCCUGAAGUGUCAUGCCGCCUCCUCCCCUUCACCCUACGGCCACUGGCCGUCGCGCAGUUUGGGUGGGUGUACAAGGUAUGAAUGCAUGCGUACACGCACCAUGCGCGCACGCCUACGAGAGAGCGUCACUGCCUUUAUCGUGGCAUACAGGCGCAUGUCGACAUCUCUCUGCCUCUCCUCCGCUACUUCUCCCCGUGCUUCCAAAACGUGAGACAGGGUUCGGGAAGGGAGGAGGCGGUGGCCAGUGGGCGUAGAGCGGGCGUACGUGCCGUACGUGCGCGUGAGUUUUCUUUUUGGCAUUUCGUUGCUGGACCUUGUAUAUGUGUUUGCUCAAGCACAGAUUGUAAAGUGUGGUGGCGAUGACGGCAAUGAAAAAGGUGGUUCCAAGAUCCAACGAGGUUCUCUCGGCUCCUCUCUUCUCCUGCCCGACGAGCUUUUCCACCGCUUCUUCCGCUCCGACUCGUCCCUCGGACCCAACUGCUCGCUCUUGCCCGGCCUACGCCUCGCCCUGACACCCUCAGCCCUCUCAGCACGCGCGUGCUCCAGUGGCACAAAGCGGCACCGCCGUAUGCAAAUUUGGCGUCUGCGGGUUUGGUGGUGGUGUCAGCCGGGAGCGAGCGGUGGAUGGGUGCGGGGGAAGAGGGGGGAGGGCUGACAGGGAAGCAAAGGGCAAGGGGAACAGAAAGCGGUCAGGAUUGCAGCAGCUCAGAAGAAGAACAGAGGAAAACAACGGACUUACCUUCUUCUUGUUCCUUUUUUUUUCUUGCCUCGUUGCAUUCUGGGGCUCGCCUCUUGUUGUGUGCGCGUGCGCUCCUCUUUGCUGUCGCUUCUCUCCGAAUUCGUUCCUUUGCGUUUUCACUCCGCAUGCUGCGAGCACCUUCACCCACCCACACUUCUCCUCCCACUCCCCGCCCCCUUCUCUUGCUUUGUUUCCAGCUCGGGGGAAGAAGGGUGGGGGAAGGGGGGUACGCGUGCGUCCCUCUUCUACGUUCUCGUGUCCUUUUAUCUUGUGUUUUUUUUUUGUUUUGCGCACGUCAUGGGGUCGCUUGGUUGUUUGCUUUUCUCUUUUCCAUGGUCAUGCAGCAGCUGCGCGGAGGCACCUGCACCUUUGCUCGCUUCCUUUCGUUUUCUUUCCCUUCCUUUCGUUGUUGUUCUUGUUGCUCGCUUGGAGUGGGGGGGAGGGGGCGCCCUUCUGUCGAUCACGUUGUUUGCCCUACGCUAGCAAUAUCGCUCGCUCUCUCCCUCCUUCGUACUGUCCCCGCUCAUCGCUGUUUGCCUCUAGCUCUGCCGAAGAUUCAUGUAAGCACCGCCUCGUUCGUUUUAUACAUCUGCAGGAGGUGAGGUAUAUGUGUGCGCAUGUGCCCCUCUCACCUCUUAUUUUUUUCUCUUCUUGCGUUGGCGUCUGCCACCUACGUUCUUAUCUUAAGCUUGAUUUGCGCACUCGCUUCCUAGCUACUUUUUCCGUGCCUUUCCCACUCCCCGCACACAUACCCACCCACACACGUCAGCUCCUGUUUCAUUGUUGUUCGGCUUCUCGAUUUCACGCACUCCAUCCUCGUCACUCCCACCGUGUGCAGGACGCCCCGGGGCCGCUCCUGCCGGUGCUGCUUCAUGCUACACUGUAUCUGAGCACGCAUGGGCUUCUGGGGCUCUUCUCCCCUUUUCUUCCUGCUUGUCAGCUUCCUAUGUGCAUGCGUGGCCCACAAGGAGGGAUGUCUGGUGCUCUGGAGCCCUUCUUGUGUUGUUUUCUCGAUGGUGGUGAUUGGUGGUGGUGGUGAUGCUGCGCAGGUUCUUUGCGCUCCAGGCGCAUCUUUCUUUGAGGGGAUUGUUUAUUGUCAAAAAAAUAUAUACACAAUAUUUUGUAAUAUAUAUCUCGAGGAGUGAGUAAGGGGGCACCAUCAUCGAAUAGUGUUCUCACCCUCUCUCGGCAUUGACCUUAUCCGCGUGUCGACACGAACACGAGCGCGCAGGAACGCAGAUCAAACGAGCAGCAGCACAUCGGAGAGAGAGGGUGGAAGAGGAUGGGGGACCGCUUGUGGAGGUGCUCGACGGCAUCGCUGAAGACCCUCCUUUUUGUGUGUCACUCGCGUGUUUUUUUUUGUCUGUCUGGGUACCUUCUCUUGUGCUUUCUUCUCCGUUUUUUUUUGUACUGUUUUCCCGUCCGUUGUAAGGAAGGCGCGACCUUCUCUUCCGUGGUCGUUUGCCACCUCAUCUUCUCCACGCCCCUCAACUGCCUCCUCUCUCUUCCUCCCUCCGUACGCCCCCGAGCCGCUUUUCCGCUCACUAGUCAUCGGUUUCAACUUCAACGAGUCCGCUCUAGUGAGUGCUGCACCUUCACAGAAACGCAGGCACGUCCAUGUGAGUACCUCGCAUUUCACUCGCUCGGAUCACCGCGCCUUUGUCGUUUGAGGGUCGGCCAGUGUUCGCAUCAGUCGCUUUUUUUUUCACGGGCAGAGAGGGCUGUUUCGGCAGUGUGCAUAUGUGUGUGGGUAUGUGUAUGCUUCCACCAUGUGACACUUAGGGUGUGCCUUUGUGUGGCAGCGAAGAGGGGGCGGGGGCUCGCCAUCAUCGUGGCAUCUUGUCUUCGCUGCGCCUGCAUCUGCUGCUGAAUCGGAUGCGGGGAAGCGCAAAAUACGCGUGCAUGCUUUCUCACGCUAUCAGUCGCGGAGGAGAGAGAGUGUGGGGCGUAAGACGUUCGGAGACCAUCUCGAAUGCUGAAUUCGGCGCAGUGCUUCGUUCCUCCCCCAGCACUGAUUCUUGUAUACCCCCUUCAAGUCGUCGUCCCCCUCCCUCCUCCUUCACAUCUCUCCGCCUCUUUCUGCCCUUCGCAGCUGUGGGCGAGCCUUCAUAGAUAUGUGUUUUUCUCGCCUUCUUCCUGUGGUCACUGUCUUUGCUCUUUUGCUGUGUAGCAGGCAUUGGACAUACCAACCCCCUCCCCCUCCCUCACUCACUCCUCGCUGGUUCGUUAGCCGACAUUUUCUCGCUCGCUCUGUGUCUGCCUGCCCUGCCGGCCCACCCCCUGUAUGCAGGUGUGACUACAUCGUGAUGGAAAAAGGAUCAAAGCCUCGUUGUCUCUGUCUGUCUGUGUGUGUGUGUGUGUGUGUGUGUGGGAGGGAAGGGGGGCUGUCUUUUAUUGUCCCGCUGGCCUUUCUAGUUCUUUUUGGCGUUUUUCUCCUUUACUACGUGUGCGCACGCAUAGACAUACUCGCACACCUCGAUAUUCUCGAAAACUCUCCUGCUGCGUAUUCGUAUGCAAACUUCCCGCUCCCCUCCCGGCGCUGUCAGCAGCCACUCUUUCCCUCUCUCCAUUUCGUGGUCUUGUUCUUGAUGAGUUCGUAUUUUUUCUACUUGUGACUCCCCUCCCCUCCCCCUUCUCCAAAGCACUUCCCAAGUGCGAGUUGCCUGUGGGUCUUUCUCUCUCCCCUUCUUCCGUGCCUCGCUCCGCAUUAUCAUUGACCGCCUUCUCUCCCCCGUCCGCAGGCCUGCUCUCUCCACCCUCUCCAUCCCUUCCACUCCCCAGCUAAGCACGCGCAAGCACACAGGAACGCGAAUGGGAAGUAUUUAUGUCGUUCAACCAUCUGCGACGCGUUUCUGCGCCGGAGGUGGCGUGGAGAAGACGAGCAUGGACGAGAACGCGUGAGUGCGAGGGAGGAGGGUGCUUGUGGGCCGCUGGAAGAGCGAAAGAGACGCGAGGAAACCGUGGCGCAUACGCAUGCAGGGUUUGGGGUCUUCCUAUGUCUUCCGCGUCCUUGUCUUUUGUUUACCUCCAUCUUCGCGAUGUUCUGCUCUGCCUUACUGUCUGCGUUUCUUCCUCGCUCUCUGUAUCUCGUGGUCUCUGUCUCGCCCUCUUCUGUGCUGCCCUCUUUGAUUAUUUUGUGCAGCUUGUUGCGCUGUACCCUCCCCACCUCCGAUUUUCCUCGCCCUCUGCUCCGCCCUCCGCUCUCGCUCUGUUCGUAUCUCUUCGUCCUUUUUUUUUUUUGUGCGCUUCUGCUUUCUCUGUGCUCCUUCACAAUUCUGUGUUUGUUUUUUCAGUUUCUGGCACGUUGCAAAGCAUGCACGCGUGAGCGCAAGGGAGGGCGGGCGGAAGAGGGAGAGGGUGUCAUGUGCGGGUACGUUGUGUGUUCGUAUUGGCGAGCCGUGUUCUCCUUUUUUUUUUCCUCUGUCCGUCACCGUUAAUCCCAUCUCUAUCUCUUUCUCUCACAAGUGUACUUCACUUGUUUUCGUUUUUGUUUCGUGUGUGUGUGUGUGUGUGUGUGUGUGUGUGUGUGCAGAGUUACCAAUCGGGGUGUAUCCUCCCUUCCUUGAUGUCGCUUCACAGCUGCUGUGAUGAUGUCGGUUGUGGGGUCAUCUCUCUUCUCUUUGUGCACCUCUGCACUUUCUGUCUGGGCCUAUGUAUGUUUCUGCGUUUGUGCUUUCAUGAAGGGGGACGGAGAGGUGGGGAGAAGGGCCUCCAUCACGCAUGGAUCGUGCCCCCGCCCUUUCCUAUUCCAUCCUUCCACUGCCUCUCCCUUUGUUUAGAUGUGCAUGCGUGAUGAGCUGUCGCAUCGACUGCUGCCGGACCACACCUCUGUUGGCGUUUAAGUGCUUGUGUCCGCGAUCAUAUACAUGCUCCAUGUAAAUGUGGAAGCGAAGCAAAAGAAAAAAUGAGGUGAAGUUGGAAGGUGCCUUAUUGGAGCUCGUGAGACAGUACACCUUGUC
rnacentral:misc_RNA from 1 species